ACCGAAAUUCUGAAACAUACGGGUUGCAAAUUAUUCAGCUGAAACAAAUAUGCAAAACAAUACUAGGUAAUUUGGCAAACUAUUUUCGUGCGAGAAUUUGUUCGAGAUCACGCAACAGUUUACACAAACAUAGACUAAUUCAUCAAACAGAGUUCACACUAGCAUACCGAAAGGAUUACAUACUAAGGAAACCUAACCCUAAUCCUAGUUCGUGGGCAUGCUCGUCGUGCUCACUUAUCGUAGCCGAAGUAAUAUUUGAUGGCGGACUUGCGCAGCGCACCGUGAGCUCCUGCUCCUUCUUGGCGGCCCGAAGCCACUUCUUCGACAUUCACUACUGCAUGCUCAGUGGCAACUAGCUCUUCGGCAGUGGCGCGACACCUCUUGAUGUGGGGCAAGAUAUGCUUGUCGAUCACAUGGAAGCCAGCCCACGCGUCUCUUCCUGUUACAGUAGACGCGGGUGCGGUCCCGCCCCUGCCUCAAGCUCCACGCGCGUCACCCCCUGUCGUCGUCAUCGCUAGAGUUGGUGAGUAUCACCACAACAUAGCUGGAGCUUCUAGCCUCUGCGUCGAGGCGGUGCGCUUGCUUGGAUGCGCACAGUGGUGGCCGCCACGGCUUCCACACGCAUCGACGUGGCCACCACGGUCGCGGCUGGAUCCGCUGGCCAUGGAUCUGUCAAAGACGGGGAAGGAGAAGAGGGAGGCACAAUAAAUUGCUCGCCAGAGUUGGCUAGGCCUAGCGACGGAGGAGAUAAAAUUGCACAACAGGGGAUAGGGGGAGCUAACCCUAAAUGCCCCUCGUACCGAUUAUAUAGCGACGGUGGGGGUGCG
rnacentral:lncRNA from 1 species